rnacentral:rRNA from 1 species
UACGUAGGGUGCAAGCGUUGUCCGGAAUUAUUGGGCGUAAAGAGCUCGUAGGCGGUUUGUCGCGUCGGGAGUGAAAACCCAGGGCUUAACCCUGGGCUGGCUUCCGAUACGGGCAGACUAGAGGUAUGCAGGGGAGAACGGAAUUCCUGGUGUAGCGGUGAAAUGCGCAGAUAUCAGGAGGAACACCGGUGGCGAAGGCGGUUCUCUGGGCAUUACCUGACGCUGAGGAGCGAAAGUGUGGGGAGCGAACAGG